rnacentral:rRNA from 1 species
AGGGAGGGGCUCGCGGCCUAUUAGUUAGUUGGCGGGGUAACGGCCCACCAAGGCGACGAUCAGUAGGGGUUCUGAGAGGAAGGUCCCCCACAUUGGAACUGAGACACGGUCCAAACUCCUACGGGAGGCAGCAGUGAGGAAUAUUGGUCAAUGGGCGAGAGCCUGAACCAGCCAAGUCGCGUGAAGGAUGAAGGUUCUAUGGAUUGUAAACUUCUUUUGUCCGAGGGUAAAGUGUGCCACGUGUGGCAUAUUGCAAGUAUCGGACGAAUAAGCAUCGGCUAACUCCGUGCCAGCAGCCGCGGUAAUACGGAGGAUGCGAGCGUUAUCCGGAUUUAUUGGGUUUAAAGGGUGCGUAGGCGGGUGAUUAAGUCAGUGGUGAAAUCGUGUGGCUCAACCAUACAAUUGCCGUUGAUACUGGUUGUCUUGAGUACAGUUGAGGCAGGCGGAAUGCGAUGUGUAGCGGUGAAAUGCUUAGAGAUCAUACAGAACACCGAUUGCGAAGGCAGCUCACAAAACUAUAUCUGACGUUGAGGCACGAAAGCGUGGGUAGCAAACAGGAUUAGAUACCCUGGUAGUCCACGCAGUAAACGAUGAUAGCUCGUUGUCGGCGAUACACAGUCGGUGACUUAGAGAAAUCGAUAAGCUAUCCACCUGGGGAGUACGUUCGCAAGAAUGAAACUCAAAGGAAUUGACGGGGGCCCGCACAAGCGGAGGAACAUGUGGUUUAAUUCGAUGAUACGCGAGGAACCUUACCCGGGCUUGAAAGUUAGUGACGGACUUGGAAACAGGUCUUCCCUUCGGGGCACGAAACUAGGUGCUGCAUGGUUGUCGUCAGCUCGUGCCGUGAGGUGUCGGGUUAAGUCCCAUAACGAGCGCAACCCCUGCUGAUAGUUGCCAUCAGGUCAAGCUGGGCACUCUAUCGGGACUGCCUCUGUAAGGAGGAGGAGGGUGGGGAUGACGUCAAAUCAGCACGGCCCUUACGUCCGGGGCGACACACGUGUUACAAUGGUAGGUACAGAGGGCAGCCACCCAGCGAUGGGGAGCAAAUCUCAAAAGCCUAUCUCAGUUCGGAUUGGAGGCUGAAACUCGCCUCCAUGAAGUUGGAUUCGCUAGUAAUCGCGAAUCAGCCAUGGCGCGGUGAAUACGUUCC